CUUUUGUCAAUUUCAUUUAUAUCGUCUUCCAUUUUAGAAAUAUGCUUGGAGAAGUUCAUGAGUAGAAACAUGCUCUAUAGAUGAAGGGGAUAAAGAUCAAGCCAGAAGCCAAACUACAUAUUGGACCUGAAUGUGGGGAUCUGGUGAAUGUAAACUGGUUGAUCUAGUUUCCUUGGUUUUAUUUUCAGGGAUUUUCCCGUACAAACUGUACUAUUGCUAACUUACCAAAUUCAGAAGUAGCUUAAGAUAGAUUCCAGUUGAAGGCACUUUGUCUUUAUUAAUAAGAAAAGCUUAGGUUGGCAAGAAACUUAAGUUGUCCUCAAAAUAUAAUAAUUUGGAGAAAGGCUCCAACAUAUUAAUAAUAAUAUAUGUGAAACUGAAUAUUAUUGUGCAUUAGUGUCAAUUUUCAGAAUUUAACAACUGAUGAUGAUAUAAUGAAACAUGUUAAUUGCUAGAGGAAGAUUGUUUCUGGGAAAAAAUGUUGUCCAAAGGUGUGGCUGUUCAUUAACUUGAAAUGACCAUGGGAAAUUAGGUACCUAUUGAAUAACCAUUUAUCAAUUGGUUCUAGGAGCUGAGUCCAUUUAAGGGGCCUUGCAUAAUCUAAACUCUUGGAAAACCUAACUUCUUGCAUUGAUAUUUUUUUCUGCUUUGUUUUGUGCUUUACUGUAUUGACACUGUAAUUGACUUUUUACUUUACU
rnacentral:sRNA from 1 species